ensembl:snoRNA small nucleolar RNA, H/ACA box 78
GUUUGCUAAAAAUCACACCCAGCUUUGGCCGUAGUCGCAGAUGAGAUUCGGCACCCAGAACGUCCAGGGUCCUACACUGCCGGUUUGGGAGGGUGAAACCCAGGCCCUGACAUCC